GACGAACGCUGGCGGCGCGCCUAACACAUGCAAGUCGAACGGAGCUUAGAGAGCUUGCUUUUUAAGCUUAGUGGCGAACGGGUGAGUAACGCGUGAGUAACCUGCCCUAGAGUGGGGGACAACAGUUGGAAACGACUGCUAAUACCGCAUAAGCCCACGGUGCCGCAUGACACUGAGGGAAAAGGAUUUAUUCGCUUUAGGAUGGACUCGCGUCCAAUUAGCUAGUUGGUGAGGUAACGGCCCACCAAGGCGACGAUUGGUAGCCGGACUGAGAGGUUGAACGGCCACAUUGGGACUGAGACACGGCCCAGACUCCUACGGGAGGCAGCAGUGGGGGAUAUUGCACAAUGGGGGAAACCCUGAUGCAGCGACGCCGCGUGGAGGAAGAAGGUUUUCGGAUUGUAAACUCCUGUCGUUAGGGAUGAUAAUGACGGUACCUAACAAGAAAGCACCGGCUAACUACGUGCCAGCAGCCGCGGUAAAACGUAGGGUGCAAGCGUUGUCCGGAAUUACUGGGUGUAAAGGGAGCGCAGGCGGGAAGACAAGUUGGAAGUGAAAACCAUGGGCUCAACCCAUGAAUUGCUUUCAAAACUGUUUUUCUUGAGUAGUGCAGAGGUAGAUGGAAUUCCCGGUGUAGCGGUGGAAUGCGUAGAUAUCGGGAGGAACACCAGUGGCGAAGGCGGUCUACUGGGCACCAACUGACGCUGAGGCUCGAAAGCAUGGGUAGCAAACAGGAUUAGAUACCCUGGUAGUCCAUGCCGUAAACGAUGAUUACUAGGUGUUGGGGGAUUGACCCCCUCAGUGCCGCAGUUAACACAAUAAGUAAUCCACCUGGGGAGUACGACCGCAAGGUUGAAACUCAAAGGAAUUGACGGGGCCCGCACAAGCAGUGGAGUAUGUGGUUUAAUUCGAAGCAACGCGAAGAACCUUACCAGGUCUUGACAUCCGAUGCAUAGCACAGAGAUGUGUGAAAUCCUUCGGGACAUCGAGACAGGUGGUGCAUGGUUGUCGUCAGCUCGUGUCGUGAGAUGUUGGGUUAAGUCCCGCAACGAGCGCAACCCUUAUUGCCAGUUACUACGUUAAGAGGACUCUGGCGAGACUGCCGUUGACAAAACGGAGGAAGGUGGGGAUGACGUCAAAUCAUCAUGCCCUUUAUGACCUGGGCUACACACGUACUACAAUGGCGUUAAACAAAGAGAAGCAAGACCGCGAGGUGGAGCAAAACUCAAAAACAACGUCUCAGUUCAGAUUGCAGGCUGCAACUCGCCUGCAUGAAGUCGGAAUUGCUAGUAAUCGCGGAUCAGCAUGCCGCGGUGAAAUACGUUCCCGGGCCU
rnacentral:rRNA from 1 species